UUGGCUGGUGGCCAGAGCUGCCUUCCCAUUGGCUGACGGCCCGCGCUGUCUUCCCAUUGGAUGGCUGACCAUUGGCUGGCGGCUGCCAGGCCACACCCCACCUAGGCGGGGCCUCGUGCGGCGGCCAUCUUGGUGGGCGUGGAGUUGGCGGUUAGCAGGGCAUCAUCUACGAGGAAAGGGCAGCAUCCCUAAUGCAUUGUUCCUGCAAACAGGACGCACAGCCGGCCAUGAAGACACAACCUGACAAACCCAAACCCUAAAAGCCGCGCGCGGCGUCCUGCGGACCAUGGAGAAAUCAGCCCGCGGAGCGCUGCCCGUGGCCACACGUGCCCGGCUCCGGAGUGGACAGCACAGCGCCCUCCUCUGUCCGCAAGCACAGGUCAGACUCCAGAGUAGGGCGCCCUCCCCAGGCGCGGAGCCCCACUGCAGUCUGGUGGCUGGUGCCUUUCCCAUUUACGUUGUGCAAAGCUGAAGUUCGUCCGUGUUCCUUGCUGUAUGAAUACAGGAUUUGCAUUUAA